CGUCCGCAACCUGCUGCUGCUGCCGGAGACCUCCCCAACCUGCUGCCCUCAUUGAGCUCGGGUCAAGCUUGCUGGAUCGAGAAGGAGCGCUGCCUCAAUGGUCAUUGGCAAGGAGUUUGAGCUCUCCCACACCUCGGAGUCCUCCAGUGUCUUCUUCUCUGUUUACAAGUUUUUUCCAGCCGUCCGGUGGAGAUGAGAUGGAUUUUGACUCUGUAGAAUAAUCUUAUGAUGAAGAGGAGGAAGAGAAGAUCAUUCCAGCCACAAAAAAAUGGUCUGCUGCCUCCAGGGCUGAUAUAUAUAUCGUUGAUGCUAUGAUGGCUGGGAAGGACGUGGGUGGAAGGUAACAUGAUGAUGGUCCCAGUUAAGGUUUCUCCGGUUGUUGCCGCCUAGGCUGUGUGGGGUGGCGGAGGCCAAGGGGACAUGCUGCUCCUACAGCAGCAGGCUGUUGGCACAAAGGCUGCUGCAGUUUAUGGGCGGAUGGGGGUACACAUCGGUGAGUGGCAGGUGGAGCGGCCUACUUGUGAUUGGUGCGGCUGCUCCCUUUGGAUGCAUGGUUUUUAACCACUAUCAUAGGUAAAAAAGGGAAGAAAUUAAGACGGGAAGUUAACUGGUUUUGGAUUCUUCCUUUGGAACUCAAGGUGGCAGUGAUGGCAAGGAUGGGUGGGAUUUGGUCUAGGAACUAUGACUUGCUCCACUCAGAUGACGCUGAGGACAGGAACACGACUAUGACUCGUAGCUCGGUGAAGCUUGCCGGAUCGAGAAGGAGCGAGGGCCUAUCGCCAGCCACCGCCUCCAUGACCAUUGAGAAGGAGUUUGAGCUUUCGCACACCUCAGAGGCCUCCAGUGUCUUAUUCUUCGGUUACAAGUUUUCCAGCCGGCCGGUGGAGAUAAGAUGGAUUUUGACUCUGUAGAAUUAUCUCAAGGGACAAAUCAGCCACGAUUAUCUGGACUGAAGGGCGCUGCAUGCCGGCAACAGGGCAACAGACACCAGGACACGUGGCCGAGGGAGUGAGCUCAACGUAGGCGCCGGGUACGGCCACCAACAAGGUCUGCUUCCUUUGCCCAUCUUAGUCUUCCCAGUAAGAUCCCAUCUCAGCUCUGUGCAUGAGCUGCUUCUGUUUUGAUUCUUAUUUGGUGUGGAAAUUUUUGGAGUGUUGGGAUAUAAUAUGAAAGGGGAACGCUCUGCAUAUUUCCAAUUGAGCCACUGAUUAUCUCAUUCGUAGAAUGAUUCAGGAAUCCUCAAAAUUGGAUAACUAGCUUCAUUCUAUAGCUGGAACCUUGCCAUGUUGACUCACGCGCUUGCACUCCCUGUGUGAUCAUGUCAUAAGUGCCACCAGUACUUUUUAUGUAUGGUUUUUGUGCCUGCCCGAAGUUACUUAUAGUUUCAAAAUCCUACAGGACACCAUGUUGCGCGGUGGAGCUCGCCCUACAUGGCACCAUAUUGAGCGGCGGCGGCAACAUGUAGUUCUAUGUGAUUUCAGUUGAAUUCUCUUCAUCGGAUCAGUCUGGUAAUCUUCUUUUUCUACUUGUGUUGUGAAGGAGGAGAUGUGGAGCUUAGUGGAGAUGAUGUUGUGCUGGUGCAGACUGUGGGUGGCUGUGUAACUCAUCGGUGUCCGGUCCUGCGACUCCGACUUCAUUGCCAAUGAGGAUGACCACAAAUUUCUGCCCGUAUUACUCAUUUCACUAUCCCCUCCGGUUUCUGCGUAUGGCCUGCUUUUGUUUGAUUAGACUUCAGUGUGAGAAGUUUUUGAGUGGUGGGCUUAUGUGAGGGGAAUGCACUGCAAAUUUCUAGUGUUGUCUGUGAUUUUCUUAUUAAAAAAUGAUUAGAGGAUCCUCACUCCUCAGAUUGGAUAACUAGCUUGAUUCUUGAGCCGAAACUUUUUCAUGUCUACUUAUUCAGUCCAACUGCUUCUAUGCAUAUGAGAAGUGUGUAUGUUGGGUAAUUUCUUGGAUUUCUUACUUUGAAAAGGGAGCUCACUGGUGUUGAGCACCACGAUAUACAGCUGUUACCUGUCCAACUAGCUGUUACCUUUUCAACUAGCUGAGGUCAAGGAUUAUGAGUCGACGAGUCGAUCUGGGGUAGAGGCUCUAGUCACGACUCAUGAGUUUAACAAUAGGUUCUAUAAAAUACAUAUAAUAUAUAAAUACCAAUAGUGUAAUACUAGUAUAUAAAUAUGUAAUACAGUAGAAGGCCGGUGAAGGAGAGUUGGGUGAGGAUGGAGUGGAGGAGCAGGCUAGCAAGAGCGGCAGCCACCGGUGGGGAACAGACUAGCAGUAGCCAACUAAUAGCAGACAAGUGCCCGUAACAAUCAGUGGACGAGACUUGGAGGAGGAGCAGCAACCGGUGGAGGAGAACAUGUGCGGUGCCAUGGGCUUGCAGCGGCUCCGGACGACAUUCUCGUGGCGGUGCGUGGCCAAGGGAGAGGACAUGGUCGGCAGGAGUGAGGAUUCGUUUUGGGUUUCAUGGGGAAAAACUGGGCAGCUCCAGCUUGGUUUUCCAGAACUGGGCAGGCAAUAUUGAAAAAAAAAUGACAUAUGGGGUCAUUUUCGAGUCGUUUGACUCAAAAAACUGAACUAGUUGAGCUUUAUCGUGACUAGUUGAAUGAGUUGCUUGACUCAUCCAGUGAGUCGAGUCGAGACAUUGAGUCGACCUCGAAGUUGUGACUCAUUGACAGUCGCGACUAGUCAAGCGACUCGAAAUCCAUGGCUGAGGUACAUGGAUUGCCAACAGCAGGUAUACCAUGGAUUUAAUUGCUUCUAGAUUGUUGUUGAUUUUUGAUAUCAAAAUGUGAUUUAAUGCCCAUUAUGAUGUCUAAUGCAUCUGAUUCGUAUGUUGAGAUGCUAGUUUUUUAUUGUUUGGAAGCAUGAUUAGUUCAAUGUUUUGUUCAUGUAUUUAUACAUUAUACCAUGAUCAAUACAGCUUCUUUGUUCUUUCUGUGUUUCUCUUCUCUUUCUAGAACUGCUAUGUUUUUGGAUUUGUCAAGGUUUUACAUGCUUGUGAUGCUUGCUAUAUUUUCAGUCUUCUUUGACACGGAGAACGAUAACUAAGCACUCAAGAGUGCCCUCAAGAACCUCUACAUCCACUGUGCAAUUUGGCAAUUCUGGUGGAUGGAGGCUGUCUGCGAUGGAGAAACAAUUCUUGAGAAGCUCUUGUUCUUGGGCCUGGAAUCAAACCGUUUCUAUAAAUUUGCCACAUCAAUGCUCAUUAUGAAGACCACAAAAGGGAGGCAAUAUGUUGCUUCUCUAGACCCUUCCUGUAAAGAAUGAUCAUCGCCAUGUUUUGGGAUUUGGUUGAAUUUAGAUAUGUGACAGGUGAAGCCAUUUGAAGAAGACAAAGUCGCUAGCCUGUAGUGGAACCUGGUGCAUCACUUGGAAGAAAGAAAUCUGGAAGACCGGCGACAUCAUGAUAUGCAUGCUUUGGUAUUCAAGCUGUCUCUUUGCUCCAUUUUAUUUCAUCUUCACGUAGGCAUCUACCCAGAUCGAAGUAGAUGGUGCUUUUUCAUGCUCUUGAAUGGUGUGCCUUGGUGGAAUCCGACACCUUGUAGAGUAUUCAUCUUAUGUCCCGCUGAUUUGAUUUGUAUAGUAAUGGAAAGUGAUGCGCUUGCUGCCUGUAUACUAUCUGUUUCCUGGUUGAGCCUUGCUCGAUCAAGUUCUUAGUAGGAAUUACAUGUAUAGUAUUGACUCUCUACUAAUUUCAUCCAAAACUGAUGUAUUCCCAACA